UGCUGCUGGCCCUUGAAGUGGCAGCCUGCUCUGUGAAGGCGGAUACCUGGUGCCCGCUCAGCGUCCUCUCACCAGGGAAGGGUGCAGCACCAAGGGCAUUUGGAGGUUCUCGGGAGGCAAGAACUUGAGCUCAUCAAAACAACCCAACUAAACCCACUGCUCCUGGUGACCUUCUGCGAUGAGAAGAACCUCUCUACAGACGACAUUACAGGUUCAAACAUGAGAGCCAGUGGGAGGAGGAGGAGCCGACUGCGACAUCUUCCUCCCAUGGAGCACCGGUGUGUUCGAACUGCCAACCUUCGGGUUCUCCACUGAGCACUUUCAUCACUGUGCCACCAGCCUUUCUCUAAGGUCUGUGUGAAAACCGGCAUGUGCAUCUGGAAGCCUGAACUCCACCUCAGCCCCAAGUGGCUUUUUAGCAAUAUGGUGGAGUCAGGUGUCGUGAAGAAGAUCCGGCAGGGCGUGAUUUUCGACAGUGUGAGAUGCUUUUAACGCACAACAACUUGUGUACAGGAAAAGCCCCGGUAAUCCUGCAGAGGGAGGUCCUGUGAUUCCCAUUUCACUGGUGAGGAAAAGCAAGCUCAGAGAAAUCGCUCACUUGCC